GCUUGAUUGUUCAAGGGGUGGCGAACAUUGGUCUGGAGAGCCGCAGCCCAGCAGAGUUUUGUAUCAACCCUAAUCAAACACACCUGAGCAAGCUAAUCAAGGUCUGAAGGGUUACUAGAAAGCUAUGUGCAGGUGAGUUUUAAUUAGGCUUGGAGCUGAACUCUGCAGGGCUGCGGCUCUCCAGGACUGGAGUUCGCCACCCCUGAUCUAUUAUAAAAAUGACAGAUUUGUAAUAUCAAAACUGUAGCUAUGUAACAUUGUGAAUUAUACACUUUAGUAACUGUAUUUACUUUUUACCCAUAGAAUCAGCAUUUAGAAUUUAUUCACCUUAUUUUUAGAAUUUUAAAUAUUGACUUCCAGUCUCAUUUGCUUCCAGCUAUUUUUUAGCUCGCCUAAUGAACCGGACGUCUCACACAUUCACAGAAAACGGCUUAUGUCCGCGUUGAAAAAUUAGGUGACACAACAAGGUCGAGGGCAUGGAUGCUGACAUUGGAGGGACAAGCUGAUUUUAUAAUUGGUCUGGCUGCCAUUUUUGCCAUUUCAAUCUGAAAAUGAUUCUUGCACCCUGGAAUUUAUCAAAGGUACUUCUUGGGCAUCAAUUCAGAGAUGGGCACAAACUCAAAGAGGCAGAGAGGACAUAUCAACCAGCAAGUCUGUACACUGAUCAGGAAACUCAUUGACUUUGAAUGAAUGUCAGUCUAGUGUAUAAGCAAUGUUCCAACACCAGAAUGGACAAACCAAACUCUCGCUUUGUGUUAAGCUAGAUGUGGUCAUGCAGUAAGAUGAUCCCUGAAUAUGUUCUAUAGUGUGUCCUGGUUCAUGAUCGUCUUAACUUCUUUUCUGGAAAGUUUAGACACGAUUUAUUAAACUGCUAAAUAAAUGUGUAAAAUUGUGUGUUUAUUUGAACUGUACACAUCUUUCCAGUGUUACAGGGUAUUGAUGGGUUAAAAGAUACAAUUUCAAAAUAACAGUAUUUU